rnacentral:rRNA from 1 species
ACUACGAUUAGAUACCCUAUUAUUCCAAUUGUUAAUAUAAAGCCAGAGUAGUAAUAGAUAUGUUCUUGAAACUCAAAGAAUUUGGCGGUGUUUUAGUCCUUUCAGAGGAACCUGUCCCUUAAUCGAUAGUCCACGUUUUACUUUACUUAGUUUUGUAGACAGCUUGUAUACCGCCGUCAUAAGAGUGUCUCUAGAGAAGAUAUUCUGGAUUUUAAAUUAAAAAAUAUGUCAGGUCAAGGUGCAGUUAAUAACUAAGUGGAGAUGGGUUACAAUAAUUUUAAUUAAAUGGAUUUAAAUCUGUAAAGGUUUAAUGAAGGUGGAUUUGAGUGUAAUAAAAUCAAGAAAAGUUUGGUGAUAAAGGCUCUAAAACAUGUACACA